rnacentral:rRNA from 1 species
CCUACGGGAGGCAGCAGUGGGGAAUUUUGUGCAAUGGGCGAAAGCCUGACACAGCGACACCGCGUGAACGAAGAAGCUCUUUGGAGUGUAAAGUUCUGUCGGCUGGAAGACGGUACCAGCAAAGGAAGCAUCGGCUAACUACGUGCCAGCAGCCGCGGUAAGACGUAGGAUGCAAGCGUUGUCCGGAUUUAUUGGGCGUAAAGAGUUCGUAGGCGGUUUACUAAGUCUGAUGUUAAAGAUCGGGGCUCAACCCUGGGACUGCAUUGGAUACUGGUAGGCUUGAGUGUGGUAGAGGCAAGUGGAAUUCCCAGUGUAGCGGUGAAAUGCGUAGAUAUUGGGAAGAACACCAGUGGCGUAGGCGACUUGCUGGCCUAACUGACGCUGAGGAACGAAAGCCAGGGGAGCGAAUGGGAUUAGAUACCCUAGUAGUC